rnacentral:rRNA from 1 species
UACGUAGGGGGCAAGCGUUGUCCGGAUUUAUUGGGCGUAAAGAGCGUGUAGGCGGCCUUACAGGUCAGCUGUGAAAACUCGAGGCUCAACCUCGAGACGUCGGUUGAAACCGUAAGGCUAGAGUCCGGAAGAGGAUAGUGGAAUUCCCGGUGUAGCGGUGAAAUGCGCAGAUAUCAGGAAGAACACCAAUGGCGAAGGCAGCUCUCUGGGACGGUACUGACGCUGAGACGCGAAAGCGUGGGGAGCGAACAGG